rnacentral:rRNA from 1 species
GAGGAAGUAAAAGUCGUAACAAGGUUUCCGUAGGUGAACCUGCGGAAGGAUCAUUACCGAGUUUUCGGGCUUCGGCUCGACUCUCCCACCCUUUGUGAACGUACCUCUGUUGCUUUGGCGGCUCCGGCCGCCAAAGGACCUCCAAACUCCAGUCAGUAAACGCAGACGUCUGAUAAACAAGUUAAUAAACUAAAACUUUCAACAACGGAUCUCUUGGUUCUGGCAUCGAUGAAGAACGCAGCGAAAUGCGAUAAGUAAUGUGAAUUGCAGAAUUCAGUGAAUCAUCGAAUCUUUGAACGCACAUUGCGCCCCUUGGUAUUCCGGGGGGCAUGCCUGUUCGAGCGUCAUUACAACCCUCAAGCUCUGCUUGGAAUUGGGCACCGUCCUCACUGCGGACGCGCCUCAAAGACCUCGGCGGUGGCUGUUCAGCCCUCAAGCGUAGUAGAAUACACCUCGCUUUGGAGUGGUUGGCGUCGCCCGCCGGACGAACCUUCUGAACUUUUCUCAAGGUUGACCUCGGAUCAGGUAGGGAUACCCGCUGAACUUAAGCAUAUCAAUA